GACGAACGCUGGCGGCGUGCCUAAUACAUGCAAGUCGAACGCAGUGGGGACGGGUGAGUAACACGUGGGUAACCUCCCAUCAGAGGGGAUAACACUUGGAAACAGGUGCUAAACCGAUACUGAUGGAUGGACCCGCGGUGGAUUAGCUAGUUGGUGGGGUAACGGCUCACCAAGGCGACGAUGCAUAGCCGACCUGAGAGGAUGAGCGGCCACACUGGGACUGAGACACGGCCCAGACUCCUACGGGAGGCAGCAGUAGGGAAUCUUGAGCAAUGGACGAAAGUCUGACGGAGCAACGCCGCGUGAAUGAAGAAGGUUUUCGGGUCGUAAAGUUCUGUUGUGAGGGAGGCGGUAUCUGAAGAAGAAGCAACGGCUAACUACGUGCCAGCAGCCGCGGUAAUUC
rnacentral:rRNA from 1 species